UACAGAGGGGGCAAGCGUUAUUCGGAAUUAUUGGGCGUAAAGGGCGCGUAGGCGGCUUGGCAAGUGGAUGGUGAAAUCCCUCGGCUUAACCGAGGAACUGCCGUCCAAACUGCUUCGCUUGAGACCGGGAGAGGUGAGUGGAAUUCCCAGUGUAGCGGUGAAAUGCGUAGAUAUUAGGAAGAACACCAGUGGCGAAGGCGGCCCACUGGUCCGGUACUGACGCUGAGGUGCGAAAGCGUGGGGAGCAAACAGG
rnacentral:rRNA from 1 species